ensembl:lncRNA
GGAACAUAUCUUUAGAUAGAUAUUUUCAGGAAUUGAUCCCAAUCCUUGCAUCUCCUCAUAUCUAGAAAAGCAAUCAAUCUCAUGGUGACAUCAGCUCCUCGUUAUUAGUAGAAAACCUUUUGUAAGGUAAGUGUUUGAUUGCAUCAAACUCCCCCUUCGCCCAAAUCACACAUAUUGAUCUUCUCUCACUGUUUGGAGCAGUUUCUCAAAGCUAUCUGAGGUGCUGUCUCCUUGGCUGCAAUCUUCAUUUUGUCCCAAAUAGAACUUAACUCACAACUUUCACGUUGUGCAUCUUUUUCAGUCCACAGAAUGGAGACAUGUAAACCCCAGCACCAGAGGAUAGGCACUCAGGACAUGCUGCGGUUGGGAGCCACUUUAUAGGGCCCAGGUCAGCAUAAGGGGCGGAGCUCUCAUAGGGCAGGCGCAUGCGCUGUUCACAGCUUCCCCCCGCGCAGUGCCUUGUGGGCAACAUCUCUGCAAGUCAGCGCAGCCGUUUUGCACUAGGAGGUCUGGCCUGAAGUGUUUGGAGUAAGACCUCUGCCGGGCGCCUGCAGCUCCCUCCCUGGACGAAGUGAAACCAGACCAAGUCCAAAGGAAAAAAGGAUGACACAAGUGGGUUGGAGUGGAUGGUGCAGUUCAUGACCUUGAAGCAGCAAAAUUCCAUGUGGAGCCUGAUCUCUGGGCUUUGUUAUUCAGUCGCUAAGUUGUGUCCGACUCUUUGCAACCCCAUGAACUGCAGCAGGGGGUUCGUCACACCCACUAAAUUCACCAGCCUCACUUUACAAAUACAGCUCAUACAGCCCCCACUGGAGCUUUUGCACUGUUGAUAAGAGCUGUAACUGGAACACUGGCCAUGGGAUGGGAGGAGAGGAUGGGGUGGAGUUGUGUUUGAGAUGGAGUCAGUAGGGUAUGAUGAAUUGUUCGUGUAGAGGCUGAAGGAAAGAAAAGAAUUAUGCUCUCAAGUUCCUAAUGUGGAUGACUGCAUGCACAGUUUGUUGAGUGAGUAUCUGUUGAGCACCUACUUAGGGCCAGGAACAAGGCCUAGGAGACACCACGGGGAACCAAAUGAAAAAAGAAAAAAAAUCUCUGCUCAUGUGAGUUUGCCUUCUACUGGGGGAAACAGGCAGUAAAUAGCAGACAAGUAAGACAGUCUUUGGUUGUGAUACCUGUGAUGAAGGAAAUAAACAGGAUAAUAGGAUGGUGAAUAAGACUGUGGAAGUCUGCUUUAUUUUUUGUUAUUGUUGCUGUUUUAUUAAUGAAGUAUAAUUGCUUUACGGUGUUGUGUUAGUUUCUGCUGUUGAACAAAGUGGAUCAGCUAUAUGUCUACAUAUAUCCCCUCCCUCUUGAGCCUCCCUCCUACCCACCCCCAUUCCACCCCUCUAGGUCAUCACAGAGCACCUGACUGAGCUCACUGUGCUACAGCAGCUUUCCUCUAGCUAGCCGCUCUGCACAUGGUCGUGUAUAGAUGUCGGUGCUCCUCUCCCAGUCUGUCCUACCCUCCUGCCCACCCUCCCCGUGUUCACCUGUCCAUUCUGUAUGCCUGCAUCUCUGUUCCUGCUUUGUAAAUAGGUCCAUCUGUACCAUUUUCUAUAUUCCACAUAUAUGCAUUAAUAUAUGAUAUUUGUUUUUCUGACUUACUUCACUCUAUAUGAGAGACCCUCGGUCCAUCCACAUCACUGUGAAUGACCCAAGCUCAUUCAUUUCCAUGGCUGAGAAAUAUUCCAUUGUAUAUAUGCACUGCACCUUUUUUAUCCAUUCAUCUGUUGAUGGACAUUUAAGUUGUGGAAACAUGAUUUAGAUAAGACGGUCAGGGAAGGACUCUCUCAGAAGAUAAUACAUGAAGUGAUGGGUCCUGAAAAUGAAAAGGAGCCAACAGAUGAAAGGGAGGAAGGGACGCAUUCCUGGAAGAAGGAUCAAGUCCAAGACCUUGGGUUAGAAAAAGGCUAGAUGUACUCCUUGAGAAGAGAGGGGAAAAAAAGUCCUGUGUAACUGGGCAUAAAGGAGAAGAUUGACUAGAGAGGAGGUUAGAGAAAUGGGCGGGACCCAUUAGCCAUGGACCAAGCCUUGAGAAGUAGGUUCUUAGGGAGGACACUUUAAUCUUUGAUAUGCUGAAUUUGAGGCACCAGAGGGGACCUAAAAAAGAAAGAUCCAGGCCUACAUCCUGAGAGCUAGAGAUGGUAUUGGGAUUUGAGAAAAUGUUCAGUUCCAUCAAAAUUACUUAGGAUUGUUCUAAAAAUACAGAUUUCCCAGGCAUUCUAAAUAUAGAUUUCUGGGGUACCACUCUGAGAAAUUCUAAUUCAAGUAGAUCUUGAUCAAGAUCUGGAAAUCAUUUUUCAAUACUCAUAGGUAAUUCUGAUCCAUUCAUUCAAGAACUAUUUCUUGCAUCCCUAGUAUGUGCCAGGACAAUUCUAAGUUCUGGAGAUACAGCCCUGAACAGGUUACAGAAAUAAGGAGGAGCACCCAUGUGACAGUAUCAAGGAAAAGCAUUCCAGGCAAAGGUUUGGUUGAGAACUCAGUAGGUGACUCUAAUUCUCUGGCUUAUUCCUACUUGAUUAACCAUCCAAAGUGGGGGAGAAGACAUGGUGGGAAAGAUACUGUGGUAUUUUCCCUUUUUUAAAAAAAAUCAUUGUUUAAAAUUGUAGUAUAGUUAAUUUACAGUGUUGUUUCGGGUGUACAGCAAAAUGAAUCAGAUAGAUACAGAUACUCCUUUUCAGUAUCCAUUGUAAGUUAACGUGAUAUUGAAUAUAGUUCCCUGUGCUUAUACAGUAG